rnacentral:rRNA from 1 species
CUACGUGCCAGCAGCCGCGGUAAUACGUAGGUCCCGAGCGUUGUCCGGAUUUAUUGGGCGUAAAGCGAGCGCAGGCGGUUAGAUAAGUCUGAAGUUAAAGGCUGUGGCUUAACCAUAGUACGCUUUGGAAACUGUUUAACUUGAGUGCAAGAGGGGAGAGUGGAAUUCCAUGUGUAGCGGUGAAAUGCGUAGAUAUAUGGAGGAACACCGGUGGCGAAAGCGGCUCUCUGGCUUGUAACUGACGCUGAGGCUCGAAAGCGUGGGGAGCAAACAGGGUUAGAUACCCUGGUAGUCCACGCCGUAAACGAUGAGUGCUAGGUGUUAGACCCUUUCCGGGGUUUAGUGCCGCAGCUAACGCAUUAAGCACUCCGCCUGGGGAGUACGACCGCAAGGUUGAAACUCAAAGGAAUUGACGGGGGCCCGCACAAGCGGUGGAGCAUGUGGUUUAAUUCGAAGCAACGCGAAGAACCUUACCAGGUCUUGACAUCCCUCUGACCGCUCUAGAGAUAGAGUUUUC